CACCAGGUUGAUUCUGCCUGACGUAGACGCUAUUCCCUAAGAUUGACCCAUGCAUGUCUUUGACGUACUAUGUACUGAAAGAUGGACUGCUCAGUAAUACUCACUUUAUUUGAUGUACAUUAUACAUAACUACGUUAAAGUGUAGCUAACAUAUGUACAGUAAGAGUGAGACCUAUCAGCUAGUUGUUAAGGUAAUGGCUUAACAAGGCAAUAACGGGUAACGGUAUUACUUUGUAAUAUUCCGGAGAAGGAGCCUGAGAGACGGCUACUAAGUCUAAGGAUUGCAGCAGGGGCGAAACUUGACCUAUGGAUAUUAUCUGAGGCAGUUAUGGGAAGUAACAUAGUUGUUUCACAUUUUAAACGUAUGUGAGCAGAUUAAUUGGAGGGCAAAUCGAGUGCCAGCAGCCGCGGUAAUACUUGUUCCAAGAGUGUGUAUGAUGAUUGAUGCAGUUAAAAAGUCCGUAGUUUAUUGUUAAGAAGCAAUAUGAGGUGUACUGUAUAGUUGGGAGAGAGAUGAAAUGUGACGACCCUGACUGGACGAACUGAAGCGAAAGCUGUACACUUGUAUGUAUUUUUUGAACAAGGACGUAAGCUGGAGGAUCGAAGAUGAUUAGAUACCAUUGUAGUUCCAGCAGUAAACUAUGCCGACGAUGUGAUAUGAGAUGUUGUAUUACAUUAUAGAAAUUAGAGUUUUUUGGCUCUGGGGAUAGUAUGAUCGCAAGAUUGAAAAUUAAAGAAAUUGACGGAAGAAUACCACAAGGAGUGGAUUGUGCGGCUUAAUUUGACUCAACGCGAGGUAACUUACCAAUAUUUUAUUGUUCUGCGAGGAUAUGAUCUGAGGAUGAUAAUAGUGGUGCAUGGCCGUUUUCAAUGGAUGCUGUGAAGUUUUGAUUAAUUUCAACAAGACGUGAGACCCUUUAUUAGACUGACACUAUUAGUGUAGGAAGGAAAGGACUAAAACAGGUCAGUUAUGCCCUCUGACAUUUUGGGCAGCACGCGCAAUACAAUAGACUUUAAUCUUUAUGGGAUAAUAUUUUGUAAGAGAUAUUUGAACUUGGAAUUGCUAGUAAAUUUUAUUAAAUAAGUAGAAUUGAAUGUGUCCCUGUUCUUUGUACACACCGCCCGUCGCUAUCUAAGAUGAUAUGUGUUGUGAAAUUAGUGCAAGCUACUUGAACAAUAUGUAUUAGAUCUGAUAUAAGUCGUAACAUGGUUGCUGUUGGAGAACCAUUAGCAGGAUCAUAA
rfam:Nosema apis BRL 01 unplaced genomic scaffold scf7180000046895, whole genome shotgun sequence.